GACCGUUAUAUUUAACUAGAGGAAAUCCGACAUGUAAAGUAGACGAUUAUGAGAAGAGAGAAAGCAUGCGCUGAUAAGUGAUAAUGCCUGAUGCGGAGCUCAGCAAAGAACGCCGCUGCCACCGCGGGCACCCACGGCCCGAGUCAGCUGGCACAGAACCGCGGCCCCGGCCCCUCGUCGACCUCACCCGCCUGCACGGCCGCGCGAACCGGACGAGAAAACCGCUCCGCCCCGCCGCGCCUCACCGAUCUAUAUCUAAAGGCAGCUCUAAUGGUUGGAGCUGCCCUUAAUCGGACAAGCGAGCCGGCAGCGGUACGCCGCAGCGCACAAUCAGAGCGAGGCGGCGGCCGUGCGACCACGGCCUCAAGGGACGCUUUCCUCGGCUGGUACACACCUCCCCACGGGCCACGGCACGCCAUGCGGUGCUUUUCCAGCACCAGCAGACAGCAGUCCAGCGCCGCGCCGCUCACUGUAGCAGCACCAGCCAAUUCGAAAUCCGGCCGCGCCGCGGGCAAACCUGCAUGGGCACGCAUGCAGCGCCGCCCGCAACCGCGACCGUGCGCCUGCGCUCCGCCCGUCGGCACCCGCGCGCCCCUGCUGCGGCCGCGACCCCCUGCCUGCCUCCCCGGAAAAACUUGCCCUCCUCGUCCUACUAAACCUGCUCGCCCGCCCGCACCAACCGCCUCUCACCUUCUCCGCACCGCCGCUUAGCGCUCCGCUCCGAAUCUCUGAUCCACUGCCUCCGAGCCCGUGGCUCCGCAAGCGGACACGGAACCAAUUGCCGAGAUCGCGGGAUGGGCGCCCCGGUCAACCUUUCCUUCCCCACCGGAUCGAUUUGCUACCAGCUAGUGGAUUGCCGAACGCAGGCCAUUGUUUGAGCCAGAGAGCUGAUCCACUGACAACUCAUUGGCGGCCAGUGUUAGCUGAUCCAUUGGUAUCUGAUGCCCUAAUACUGCAGUACCUACUUAGCAGCAUGUGUUCAUCCAUUUCCUGUCCAAUUAUGUCGUGUAAGCUCGCGCACAAGCUCCAGCGCAUGCGGAUUUGCACACUGUUUCAUGGCUUGCUGAUAAGGGUCUUAGUGGGAAUUCUUGAAGCGCUCGUAUUCCAUAGGUAUGUUCAUAUUGUGACCGGCUCACUGUACUGAGACUGACAGUUCACAGCUGUAUCAAGAACACGGUUGGAAAAUAACAUACUCGUUCACUCGUGAUUAUUGGAAGAAGCACCAUCUGCGGCUACGGGGAGAGCGAUGUUCGUGAGCUGAUAGUUGUGACAAGGAUACAGAGUAGCGAGGGAUGAAGGAGCCUGCGGUAACACGGGGAUGCUUGGUGUAGGUGAUGCAUGCACUGCCUUUCUUUGUUUCUGCCAAGGAUAUCUGUGUAUUUCAUUUUGGUUCCGUUGCACUGAUAAAUAGAAUAAUGCAAUAUUUUAUCCUGCCAUAUAUUGGUGCUGCAACUCUGAAAUCUGUCAAAAAUACUUGAUGAUUUUGCUUGGAAAACACAUGGUAGGAGCACUUUUUCAGUACCAUUUAUGUUUUUGGUUGAAUGCAUGGAUAGGUUAUUCUUAAGGUUAGCACUAGCUUUCAUGAGAUGGAGAUGAUUACUGCAUUGAUAGUAGGGAUUUUCAACUAAAGGUUGGUACUAGUUUUAUUACCUAAAGACUCCCACUGCUUUCUUUUGGUUCUCUGUUCGUCACCCCUAGCAAUGUAUUUGCCACCUCUACCUGAAUUGGCUAUGUGAAAAGGCUCAUAUUUUUUUGCCCAAAAUAAAACAAAAGCCUUGCCAUUGAAUUAUAUCUGUGCAUAUCUUUAUGGCUACAUCUAUUUGAUUCAUCUCAGAGAUUUUCUUCUUGUCCUUCUAUUCAUUUCACUGCAUAAGUGCCUACAAUCUGAGGAGACCUGAUGAUGCAACCUGAUCUUCAGGCGUUUGAAUAUUAACAUAUUCACACUGCAGGUCUAAGUGUACAAACACAUGUUUUGCUUCUUUAAAACUUGUAAAUUUAUGAAAAACCCUGGAGUUUUAUUUAGUUCAGGAGAAGAAAGUGGAGUUCAUGAACUGAUACAUUUGUGACACUUUGUGCAGGUUGCUCACUUCAACCCUACUAACUCUAGUAGUGUGAAUUGAACCUGUAUUCUACUUCUAAAGAUGGCAAUCAAAUUUAGGCCUUACUGAAAUUUCCAUUCAGGUACCUAACCUUGUUGACAAAAUGCUGCUAAUCAAUCGUACUAUAUUUUAAUAAGACGCGGCAACACUAUAAACAGCAUCAAGAAAGUGUUAUCGUCUAGCCUAUAAUUCUGUAUGGAUGGGAAAUUUGAUGUCACUGAGACAUAUAUUUACAAUAUUUCAUUGAGAUCAUUUCCACUAAACUUGUAAAAUCAAGGAAUCCAUGCAUGGCAUAUCUUGGAUAUGAAUAUUGCUUGUUCGAUGAGUUGAAAAAUUGCCUCCCAAAAAUUGUGAAAAAUAAAAUAUAGCUGUAUUAGGACAUCUGUGUACUGGUUGUGAAUAGUGACAUUCUAUUGAGCUGUAUCCCUGUAUGUUCUGUCAUAUCACACAAUUCUGGCAAAAUUUAAUGGCUUCCUAAAAGUUGUGUGAAGUUGCACCAUGCACCUAAUAACUUAAACUUUCCAUAAAGGCAAAAACUGAAUAUGAUGAGGAGAAACUGAGGAUAAGGCAGCUUAACUUUUUCCAGACUGGCAUUAUCAUGUGAACCAUGUUUACUUGACACCUAGGCUGUUUUCUGCUAAUCUACAUAUGUUACCCUAACAAGAAAUUUUGGCACAUCCACCCAACAAAUUAAUAAUUUCCGUUUUGGCCAUAUUAGUAGCUUAGCCUUUUGUUUUUCUUAAUAUGUUUUACCUUUUUCCUUUUCAUUUUCUGUUUUAUUCUUCAAUUUGUUUUGAAAGAGAGCUUUAGAAGGUGAGGCUUCCAGAUAUCUUGCUUGCAGCAGAGGUACCCAAAAAGCUUGAUCAAUGGCCAAAAGAAAAAUAGAAUGGGAAAAGGCCACAACUUAAAAACAUCUUUCUGUAGUAUCCUAAGAUGACAAUAAAAUGCACUUGCUUAAGAACAUAGUGGCUUUUAGGGGAAAAGGCCACAACUUAACUAAACAAACAAGGGUCUUGCAAUUUGUUCCUAGAUCACACGAACUCAUAUGCAGUUAUGCAUUCAACUUAUAUCAGUAUCUCAUAACUUGCAGGAACAAAUUGCAAGACUCUUCUUGGUUUAGUUCUAUCAGUUAUGCAUUCAACAAUACCUUUCUUUAAAUAUAUAAAAUGGCUGCUCGGUGGGGAUCUCCCCCACAAUUUUUAGUCAAAAAAAGUGCUGGAACCAUGACCAACUAUACAGAUAUCCAGGGCAGACACAAACAACAGAGGCAAUGCAUGCGUACCAGCAUUCAAACAUUUUUGAAAUGCAUCUUGGCUUGAAAAUAAAGUCAUAGUGCUAAGUUUUUCUAAGGAAAAACAUCUCAGUAAUUGUGCUUAAUAGAGGGAAGAACAGAAGUAAUUAUUUUGAGGGCUUAAAAAGAAGUAACUCUUUCUCUCCUUGGAUUCCGAAUUUCACCUGCAUCUCUGCACAUCUUCCCUGGAUUCCGAAUUUCUCCUGCAUUCCCCGAAAUACAACUCCACAGCACCGCCAGGCACAGGUACUCUUCAAAACCAUCUUUGCCUAUUCCCCCCUUUCCCCCUCUACUUCUUGCUGUUUUGGCCACGUUUUACCCUAAAAUUUUGAACCUCCUUGGUGAAUCUUUUGGGGGCGAGGGUUCUGUAGGGGGAGGAGGGGAUUUCUGGUCGUGUUGGGUGUCUUAGUUUGGUGAUUUUUAGGAAUCUGUUUUUGUUUCAUCUUACUUUCGAUGCUGCUUUGCUACAAAGAGUUUUUUGGGCCUGGGGAUACUAGUCCCGUUCAGUUACAGCCGGAUUUGUGGUUGGAAGAAGAGAAUGCAGAUCUUACAGAACAAGAGGUAUUUGAUGCUAUUCAGUCCAUAGAAUCAAAUGAGGCAUUUGGACCUGAUAGUUUCCCUGAUGAAUUUUAUCAAACCUUCUGGAAUAUAUCAAGACAAAUCUUAUGAGAAUAUCCGAGCACUUUCACAAAUAAGAUCUGGAAAUUCACAGGCUGAAUUUUGGUGUGAUCACAUUAUCACCAAAGGUUCCAGAAGCAUCAACAAUUCAAAAAGGUUUAUGAUAAAGUACUUUGCACCUUUUUGGAUCUGAUUCUCGUAAUUUAGGGUUUUAAUCAGGUUUUGGUGCAGAUGGAUAAAAGCUUUUGUGCGCAAGGGCAGAUUUGCAUUAGGCUGAAUGAUGAGGAAGGACCAGUACUUUCAGGGUUAUCAGGGUUUGAGGCGAGAUCCCUUGUCUCCUUCCCUCUUCAAUUUGGGAAGAUGGGUUUAGCUGCUAUGGUGAGAAGAGCCCAACCAAAUGGAUUAAUUGCGGAUUAGUUCCCCAUUUGAUCAUUUGAUCCGAAAAGGACUAGCCUUGCUUCAAUAUGCAGAUGACACUGUCCUAGCUCUGAUGGUAUUGUUGUGGCUCAGAAUGUGAAAAUUUUGUUGUAUGCAUAUGGAAGAAUGACUGAGCUGAAAAGCUGUCUCAAGAGUGUUGUAGUGCUUUUGGGAGAGGAUAAUCAAAGAGCAGAAAUGAUGGCAGAUUUAUUUCACUAUUCAUAUUGGUCACUUGCCAAUCACGUACCUAAGAGUUCUGUGUCAACCAGAAGAUUUUUGUUGGUGGAUUGGCUAUUCGUGAUAAAGAGGUGGCUUUGUUUCUCCAUGAAGGAGACUUGUUUUCCUGGAAUCAUGUCUUAGCACAAUACCUAUCUAACUUAUGUCCGUGUACCAACUACCAAAAACAAUCAUACAGAAAAUUGAUACGCUCAGGAGGAGAUUCUUGUGGCAAGGUAUUUGGUCAAAUGUGAUAUUGUUUGCAAGCAGAAAAAGCAAGGGGCAUUGGGAGCUAAACAUCUGGACACCAUGAACUAGUGCCUGUUAGCUAAAUGGCUGUUCAAAGGUCAGAAUGGAACAGGUUUAUGGCAAGUUGGCAACAGAUAGUUGAAGCAAAAUAUAUCAGACAGAGAUCGUUUUUUUGGAUCAAAUGGAAACCAACUGAUUCACCAGUCUGAAGUAUUUUGUUAAAUUGAAGACCAUCCUAUACACAGGUUGGUAUUGGAAAGCGGGCUCAGGUACCAGAAUUCGUUUCUAGGAAGAUACCUGGCUCUAUGAUGUUACUUUAGCCCUGAAAUUUCCAGAGAUGUAUGAACUGAUUCAAAAGCCUGAAGUUUCUUGGCCAAGCUCAAUUUUCUGUCAGAAGACAUCUUGAUGAGCUAUUAUUGGGUUCGUCAGAUCAGAUUCAGAACUAGUGCAGAAAUGUACAUCUUGAUGAUUCAAAAGAUAGAGUAAAUUGAUUUGGAGCCAUACUUCGACAAAAGAUUUCACAGUCUAUAUAUCAGAAAGUGGCUGCACACAACUAUACUAAAUUCAACUCGUACAUGGAUGAACUCUAGACUAGCUAGCAUAUCCAACCUAUUAAGUUGGAGAAGUGUAAUUGAAUACCUGGAUCUUGGAUUAAACAACAGUCGUUUUUUGUUAAAUGCUUGUAGUUUAAAUCUCUGAUGCGUUUUGAUUUCAUCAGUUUUGAAGUGCUGUAGUUCUUUUAAACUUUUAUAGUGCUAUUUUACCAAAAUUUAAAGGCAUUUUAUCAUGCUUGGCAACUAUUUUCAAGUCAUUUUUAACAAAGUGAUGGUGUCCUUUCAACAGAUU